UAUGUGCGGUGAAAAGCAGUUUUCUGA
rnacentral:piRNA from 1 species